rnacentral:rRNA from 1 species
UUUAGUCACCCGUACCCCAAACCGACUCAGGUGUUCAGGUAGAGAAUACCAAGGAGAUCGAGAGAAUCGUGGUUAAGGAACUCGGCAAAAUGCCCCCGUAACUUCGGGAGAAGGGGGGCCCGCGGUGUGAAGGGACUUGCUCCUGGAGCACCAUACGGCCGCAGAGACCAGUGGGAAGCGACUGUUUACUAAAAACACAGGCCCGUGCCAAGUCGCAAGACGAUGUAUACGGACUGACGCCUGCCCGGUGCUGGAAGGUUAAGAGGAACGGUUAGCCGCAAGGCGAAGCUGAGAAUUUAAGCCCCAGUAAACGGCGGUGGUAACUAUAACCAUCCUAAGGUAGCGAAAUUCCUUGUCGGGUAAGUUCCGACCUGCACGAAUGGCGUAACGACUUCCCAGCUGUCUCAACCGCGAACUCGGCGAAAUUGCACUACGAGUAAAGAUGCUCGUUACGCGCAGAAGGACGGAAAGACCCCGUGACCUUUACUACAGCUUGGUAUUGGUGUUCGGUGUGGCUUGUGUAGGAUAGGUGGGAGACUGUGAAGCUUGGACGCUAGUUCAGGUGGAGUCAUUGUUGAAAUACCACUCUGGUCACUCUGGAUAUCUAACUUCGAACCGUGAUCCGGUUCAGGGACAGUGCCUGGUGGGUAGUUUAACUGGGGCGGUUGCCUCCUAAAAAGUAACGGAGGCGCCCAAAGGUUCCCUCAACCUGGUUGGCAAUCAGGUGGCGAGUGUAAGUGCACAAGGGAGCUUGACUGUGAGACUGACAAGUCGAGCAGGGACGAAAGUCGGGACUAGUGAUCCGGCAGUGGCUUGUGGAAGCGCUGUCGCUCAACGGAUAAAAGGUACCUCGGGGAUAACAGGCUGAUCUUGCCCAAGAGUCCAUAUCGACGGCAUGGUUUGGCACCUCGACGUCGGCUCGUCGCAUCCUGGGGCUGGAGUAGGUCCCAAGGGUUGGGCUGUUCGCCCAUUAAAGCGGUACGCGAGCUGGGUUUAGAACGUCGUGAGACAGCUCGGUCCCUAUCCUCUGCGCGCGCAGGAAAUUUGAGAAGAUCUAUCCCUUACGAGAGGACCGGGAUGGACGAACCUCUGGUGUGUCAGUUGUUCCGCCAGGAGCACCGCUGAUUAGCUACGUUCGGAACGGAUAACCGCUGAAAGCAUCUAAGCGGGAAGCCGGCUUCAAGAUGAGAUUUCCAUGCCUUCGGGCGAGAGGCUCCCAGCUAGACUACUGGGUUGAUAGGCAGGAUGUGGAAGUGCGGACUAAAGACGCAUGGAGCUGACCUGUACUAAUAAGCCGAUAACUCC